rnacentral:rRNA from 1 species
GCUUAACACAUGCAAGUCGAACGAGAUCUUCGGAUCUAGUGGCAGACGGGUGAGUAACGCGUGGGAACCUGCCCAGUAGUAGAGAAUAACUUGAGGAAACUUAAGCUAAUACUUUAUACACCCUUCGGGGAAAAGCUUUAUGCGCUAUUGGAUGGGCCCGCGUUAGAUUAGUUUGUUGGUGAGGUAAUGGCUCACCAAGACUACGAUCUAUAGCUGGUCUGAGAGGAUGAUCAGCCACACUGGGACUGAGACACGGCCCAGACUCCUACGGGAGGCAGCAGUGGGGAAUAUUGGACAAUGGGGGCAACCCUGAUCCAGCGAUGCCGCGUGAGUGAUGAAGGCCUUCGGGUUGUAAAACUCUUUCGUCAGGGAAGAUAAUGACGGUACCUGAAGAAGAAGAUCCGGCUAACUCCGUGCCAGCAGCCGCGGUAAUACGGAGGGAUCUAGCGUUAUUCGGAAUUACUGGGCGUAAAGCGAGCGUAGGCGGAUUUGUAAGUUGGAGGUGAAAUCCCAGAGCUUAACUCUGGAACUGCCUUCAAAACUACAUUUCUUGAGUUUGGUAGAGGAGAGUGGAAUUCCUAGUGUAGAGGUGAAAUUCGUAGAUAUUAGGAGGAACACCAGUGGCGAAGGCGACUCUCUGGGCCAAUACUGACGCUGAGGUUCGAAAGCAUGGGUAGCGAACAGGAUUAGAUACCCUGGUAGUCCAUGCAGUAAACGAUGAGUGCUAGAUGUUGGGAAUUUAAAUUUCCAGUAUCGCAGCUAACGCCUUAAGCACUCCGCCUGGGAAGUACGGCCGC